rnacentral:rRNA from 1 species
UUUAAAUGGCUGCGAUACUCUGAUCGUGCAAAGGUAGCAUAAUAAUUAGUUUUUUAAUUGGGAACUGGAAUGAAAGGUCGAACGAGAAAAAAACUGUCUCAAUCUAAAUUUAAUUAGAAUUUUAUUUUUAAGUAAAAAAGCUUAAAUAAUUUUAAAAGACGAGAAGACCCUAUAGAGUUUUAUAUAAAUAUAAAUAUUUAGAAGUUGAAGAAUUAUAGAUUUWAAUAUUUAUAUUUWUAUUUGGUUGGGGUGAUUAAAAAAUUUAAUGAACUUUUUUUWUWUUAAACCAUUGAUUUAUGAAUAAGUGAUCCA